rnacentral:tRNA from 1 species
GCUCUCAUAGUUCAACGGAUAGAACAGCCCCGUCCUAAGGGGUAGAUGUAGGUUCAAUUCCUGCUGAGAGCACAA